rnacentral:rRNA from 1 species
UACGUAGGGUGCGAGCGUUGUCCGGAAUUAUUGGGCGUAAAGAGCUCGUAGGCGGUCUGUCGCGUCGAUCGUGAAAACUUGGGGCUUAACCCUGAGCUUGCGGUCGAUACGGGCAUGACUGGAGUUCGGCAGGGGAGACUGGAAUUCCUGGUGUAGCGGUGAAAUGCGCAGAUAUCUGGAGGAACACCGGUGGCGAAGGCGGCAUUCUGGACCGACAUUGACGCUGAGGAGCGAAAGCCAGGGGAGCAAAGCGGG